CUGCAUCCCAAGAGACAAUGGAGCCAGUUCUGACAGAUUUUUUCAUAUCUUGGAAGAAUAUUUGGAUCAUGAUAAAGCCAUAUGCACAAGGCAAGACUGCCAAGUGGAGCUAUUUAGGGAUCAACCAAGAACUUCCAUCCAAAUGUGAUGAGCCAUAAGGCUGUCUGCAAUCAUAUCAGUGACCUGGUGACUAUGAUUCAUGCCUUCAUACCUCCCCCAACCCUGCAUGAAAUGUCAUUGUAACUUUCUGUAC